AUUAAUUAGGUGUGAAGUUCUUUGCGUUUUCUCACUUGUUCUAUUUUCUUCUUCUUUUUCACCUCUGGUCGUUUUCUCCCCACUUCCCAUGUCACUUCCUAGUUGGUAGUGGAGGUCAUGAUUCCUGUCCAUUCUCUCCUCUCACCACAGAACCUGGAUUCAUCUGGGCAAAGGAGCCAAAAACAUGAAAGCUUCACAUGUGAGAUAAAUGCACUCAGAGACUCCUCACAAGUAGCUCUUUGGAGCUUCAGAUGUGAAAUGGAUCAUUCCUCAAUCUGUAAUAGACCCUUCUGUGAAGCUCUUCAAUCAAACCUGAGAAUUCAAGGCGUUUUGUAGCAUCCUAAACAGAAGGAUAUUGAAGGGAGCUGAUUCUGCUUUGAUCCUUGUGCUUGUUGUCAAAGCGCUUGGGAUUGAAGAGACUGUUGGCUACAAUUGACUGUGACAAUUAGGAGAUGAUCAGAGCCCUAGAGUGGAGCACUUAAAGGGUUUGCAUUUAAAACGCUCUUGGAGCACUAAUUGUAUGAAAUUCUGGUAGCUGCACAUUCUCUUUUUGGAGAGGUAAUGAGUGAAUGAAUGAAAAGGCAGGGAUCAUUUGCCAUUCUAAGAGCGGGGAUUGUCAGAAUAUUUCUACUUGACUGAAAUUGUUUUGGAAGAGCCAGCCAGGAGCCCCCAAAGGAUAUUUUUUUAAGUUCUUCGUACAUGAGAACCAAACUUCUUCUUGCCUACAGAUUAUUUUGACUGGCUGAAUUUUAAUGGAUAACUUAAAAUCUGAAAGAUAACAUACUUGCAGAAAAGUGCCCAAAUCACAGAUGAAGAAGCCCACGGAAACAGCAUCAUAACCUUGGGACAGCACCCGGGGCCCCUCACACCUUUUCCAACUUGCUACCUAAUUCUCCCUGCCUGAAGGAAACCAGGAUCCUGGAUACCAGGAUCCACCCCUAUUUAACUUACUUUCCCAUGAUGUCAUGCCAAAACAGAGUGGGAUCAGAGUGCCCACUGAGCCAUGUGACAUAGCAAGCUGCUCAUGGUCUCUCGGCUUCAAUUUGCAUCUUUAAAAAUAAGGAGGUUGAACUUUCAAGGUUUUUUUUUUUUUUUUCCAUCUUGAGAUUAAAUGUUGACAUUUAAAGAGUCUUCUAAAGAACACUAUUUAUCUAACUUCAACACCUUCUGUGGUUUGUUAGCUCAGGUGGAACUUCUCAGAAGCCAUGUUCUAAACGAGAGGUGGUCAAUUAACUUUAUCCUCUACCACGAGCACAAACAGACCCUGAACCGCAUGGACCAUAUUGUGAAUGUGGUUCCAGGAGGAGUGGGGGACAGAGAACUGAUGCCUGAAGGGAAUGGUCUCCUGCAGCACUGGGAGGCUUGCUGCAAAGCAUUCCCUCCACUUGGUGUGCAGGGCAACAUCACACCACAAGAGUAGAAAAUUCUUUAUAGUUUGAUUGUUCUAAGCCGUGAUUCAGGUUUGGGACAAAUAUGGACUCCUGUCAUUUGGCAACUAAAGGACUGUUUGAUGAGCAAAAUGGAAGACUUCAGUAGUAGGAUUAAAGUCUCCUUUUGCCUUAGUGAUACACUAUCCAGAAGGAACCUAUAGCUGUACGACUUCUGUCCUCAGAAGCUGAAUGAGAUGAGGAAGAAUGAAUUAGGAUGACUUCCCCCAGAAGUCAAAACAGUAGGCGUUGCCUCCAGUCUUGUGACACGUGCUCUGCCAUGGGCUGUGUUUCCUAUAGUUCUAAGAGCCUCCUAACUUGAGGGACUUAUUUAGAUGCUUUUAUUCUGUAAUCUUUCUUGAAUGAUUUCUUCGAAGAGAAAGAUUUGGUUUUUCUAGCAGCCAAACAGGUGAGUGAAUGACAAUCAACUUUUCAACAGGCGCAGAAACUC